UGUCCCUCCAUCUGUCCGGUUGUGCAGGAGUCUGUCUGUCCAGUUGUCCUGGUGUACGUCCUGGUGUCCCUCCAUCUGUCUGGUGGUCCAGGUGUCUGUCUGUCUGUCCAGUUGUCCUGGUGUCUCUCUGGUUGUCUGGGUCUCUGGCUGGUUGUCCUGGUGUCUGUCCUGGUGUCCCUCCAUCUGUCCGGUGGUCCAGGUGUCCGUUUCUCCGGUUGUCCUGGUGUCUGUCCAGUGGUCCAGGUGUCCAUCUCUCCGGUUGUCCAGGUGUCUGUACGGUUGUCCGGGAGAGUCUCUGUCCGGUUGUCCAGGUCUCUGUCCGGUUGUCCUGGUAUCUGUCCUGGUGUCCCUCCAUCUGUCCAGUUGUCCAGGAGUCUGUCUGUCCAGUUGUCCUGGUGUCUGUCCUGGUGUCCUUCCAUCUGUCCGGUGGUCCAGGUGUCCAUCUCUCUGGUUGUCCAGAUCUCUGUCUGGUUGUCCAGGAGUCUGUCUGUCCAGUUGUUCAGGUCUCUGUCCUGCUGCCUGUCCAGUUGUCCGUCUGUCUGUUUUUCGGGUCUCUGUCCAGUUGUCCUGGUGUCUGUCCUGGUGUCCCUCCAUCUGUCCGGUUGUCCAGGUGUCCAUCUCUCCAGUUGUCCCGGUGUCUUUCCGGUUGUCCUGGUGUCUGUCCUGGUGUCCCUCCAUCUGUCCGGUUGUCCAGGUGUCCAUCUCUCCGGUUGUCCAGAUCUCUGUCUGGUUGUCUGUCUGUCCAGUUGUUCAGGUCUCUGUCCUGCUGCCUGUCCAGUUGUCUGUCUGUCUGGUUGUCCGGGUCUCUGUCCAGUUGUCUUGCUGUAUGUCCUGGUAUCCCUCCAUCUGUCUGGUGGUCCAGGUGUCCAUCUCUCCAGUUGUCCUGGUGUCUGUCCAGUUGUUCGGGUCUCUGUCUGGUUGUCAAAGACUCCGUCUGUCCGGUUGUUCAGGUGUCUGUCCUGGUGUCUGUCCAGUUGUCCGUCUGUCUGGUUGUUCAAGUGUCUGUCCGGUUGUCCGGGUCUCUGUCUGGUUGUCCUGGUGUAUGUCCUGGUGUCCCUCCAUCUGUCUGGUUGUUCAGGAGUCUGUCUGUCUGGUUGUCCUGGUGUAUGUCCUGGUGUCCCUCCAUCUGUCUGGUUGUCCAGGAGUCUGUCUGUCUGGUUGUCCUGGUGUCUUUCCGGUUUUCCACAUCUCUGUCCGGUUGUCCAAGAGUCUGUCUGUCCAGUUGUCCUGGUAUCUGUCCAGGUGUCCAUCUGUCCGGUUGUCCAGGUGUCCAUCUGUCCAGGUAUCUGGGGGUCCAGCUGUCCAGGUGUCUUUCUGUCCUGGUGUCCAGUUGUCCGUCUGCCCUGUUCAUCCAUCCGGGGCUCCAUCCACCCAGGGGGAUGUUCAUCUGGGUGUCCGUCUGUCCAUCUGUCCAGCUGUCUGUCCACCCACCUGAGUGUCCCUCUGUCUGCCCAGGGGUCUGUCCAUCUGUCCAAGAGUCCUUCUUGGUGUCUGUCCAUCUGGACAUCCAUCUAGAUGUCCACCUGGAUGUCCAUCCAUGUGUCUGUCCAUCCCUCUUGAUGGACGUCCAUCCACCCAGGUGUCCCUCUAGGUGUCCGUCCAUCUGGACGUCCAUCUGGGUGUCCACCUGGAUGUCCAUCCAUGUGUCUGUCCAUCCCUCUUGAUGGACGUCCAUCCACCCAGGUGUCCCUCUAGGUGUCCGUCCAUCUGUCCAAGUGUCCUUCUAGGUGUCCAUCCAUCUGGAUGUCCAUCUAGAUGUCCACCUGGGUGUUUGUCCAGGUGUCUGUCCAUCCCUCUGGACGUUCAUCCACCUGGUUGCCCGUCCAUCCGUGUGGAUGGACAUCCAUCCCU
rnacentral:lncRNA from 1 species